UCGGUUUCACACGGGGAAGGUAAGCGGUGACUUAUUGAGAUGUCCGACUCACUUAUAUUCAAUUCGGGGGCGCGUAGGUCUGCAACUUGCUUUACUAGAAUUGUUCAUAUUCUCCUCUGCACUUUCCGGAAUGCCGUGAAUCUCGAGUAGAUCUCUACGCAAAUAACGUUUGACAUUCUCGUUUUCAAUGUCUGCCAAUGUACACUGCUGCUCUAG